UACGUAGGGGGCAAGCGUUGUUCGGAAUUACUGGGCGUAAAGGGCGCGUAGGCGGCACGGCAAGUCAGGAGUGAAAGGCCUGGGCUCAACCGAGGAACUGCUUUUGAGACUGCCGAGCUAGAGUGCAGAAGGGGCAACUGGAAUUCCCAGUGUAGCGGUGAAAUGCGUAGAUAUUGGGAAGAACACCGGAGGCGAAGGCGGGUUGCUGGGCUGACACUGACGCUGAGGCGCGAAAGCCAGGGGAGCAAACGGG
rnacentral:rRNA from 1 species